rnacentral:tRNA from 1 species
GCCUGGCUGGCUCAGUCGGAAGAGCAUGUGACUCUUGAUCGCAUGGGUUGUGAGUUCGAGUCUCACACUGGGUG